rnacentral:rRNA from 1 species
AGCGACUGUGCAGGUUACCGCGGCUGCUGGCACGGAGUUAGCCGGUGCUUCUUCUGUGAGUGAUGUCCUUCCUGCCGGCUAUUAACCCGCAGGCCUUCUUCCUCACUGAAAGUGCUUUACAACCCGAAGGCCUUCUUCACACACUCGGCAUGGCUGGAUCAGGGUUGCCCCCAUUGUCCAAUAUUCCCCACUGCUGCCUCCCGUAGGAGUCUGGGCCGUGUCUCAGUCCCAGUGUUGCUGAUCAUCCUCUCAGACCAGCUACGGAUCGUCGCCUUGGUGAGCCGUUACCUCACCAACCAGCUAAUCCGACAUAGGCUCAUCCGAUAGCGCGAGGCCCGAAGGUCCCCCGCUUUCCCCCGUAGGGCGUAUGCGGUAUUAGCCUGGGUUUCCCCAGGUUAUCCCCCACUACCGGGCAGAUUCCUAUGCAUUACUCACCCGUCCGCCGCUCGCCACCAGGGAGCAAGCUCCCCGUGCUGCCGCUCGACUUGCAUGUGUUAGGCCUGCCGCCAGCGUUCAAU